rnacentral:rRNA from 1 species
CAGCAGCCGCGGUAAUACAGAGGGUGCGAGCGUUAAUCGGAUUUACUGUGCGUAAAGCGUGCGUAGGCGGCUUCUUAAGUCGGAUGUGAAAUCCCUGAGCUUAACUUAGGAAUUGCAUUCGAUACUGGGAAGCUAGAGUAUGGGAGAGGAUGGUAGAAUUCCAGGUGUAGCGGUGAAAUGCGUAGAGAUCUGGAGGAAUACCGAUGGCGAAGGCAGCCAUCUGGCCUAAUACUGACGCUGAGGUACGAAAGCAUGGGGAGCAAACAGGAUUAGAUACCCGUGUAGUCCCUGUCUCUUAUAC